rnacentral:rRNA from 1 species
GACGAACGCUGGCGGCGUGCUUAACACAUGCAAGUCGAACGGAAAGGCCCUGCUUUUGUGGGGUGCUCGGGUGGCGAACGGGUGAGUAACACGUGAGUAACCUGCCCUUGACUUUGGGAUAACUUCAGGAAACUGGGGCUAAUACCGGAUAGGAGCUCCUGCUGCAUGGUGGGGGUUGGAAAGUUUCGGCGGUUGGGGAUGGACUCGCGGCUUAUCAGCUUGUUGGUGGGGUAGUGGCUUACCAAGGCUUUGACGGGUAGCCGGCCUGAGCGGGUGACCGGCCACAUUGGGACUGAGGUACGGCCCAGACUCCUACGGGAGGCAGCGGGGGGGAAUAUUGCACAAUGGGCGGAAGCCUGAUGCAGCAACGCCGCGUGCGGGAUGACGGCCUUCGGGUUGUAAACCGCUUUCGCCUGUGACGAAGCGUGAGUGACGGUAAUGGGUAAAGAAGCACCGGCUAACUACGUG